CUAGUUUUCUGUGAACUUAAAUUCUUUUUCCAUUUCCCAUAUACUCCUCAAGUAAAGCUUAAAAUUGAAAAAUACUUAUAAAAAAGCUUAAACAUGGAGACUUGGCUUCCUGAUUUUUCUGAACAUAUCUGAUUUGUCUAAAAACCUCAUGAUAUCUUUAGCAACUAUUAGUAAUGAGGAUUCGGAAUAUCACUCCUUGAUCAACCAACGAGAGAUUUCAACAUCAUAAAUUAUGAUGCUCCUUUCCCCGUUAUAAAAGCUUGGUUGGUGGUUGAGGUUAAGGAUUAUCGCCCUAUUAGCUUGGUGAGUGGGAUGUAUAAAAUCAUCUCAAAAGUCUGGCGAACAGGCUAAGCAUAGUGGUGGAGAAAGUAAUAUCAAGGCCCCAAGAUGCCUUUGUGAAGGGGAGGCAAAAACUCAAUGUGAUGUUUAUUGCCAACGAAUGUCUGGAUAAUAGACUCAAGUUGGGAGAGCCAGGGCUUCUUUGCAAACUACACAUG